rfam:Thermovirga lienii DSM 17291, complete genome.
GGAGAGGUGGCCGAGUGGUCGAAGGCGGGCGACUCGAAAUCGUCUAGGCGGUGAUGAGCCGUCUCGUGGGUUCAAAUCCCACUCUCUCCG